GAUUGGCAUUGAGAUUUAAAUCUUGAGGACAUCGAUCUCACUCCAGUAUCUUUUCCAGAGGAUGGUAAUGAAAUUAUUUUUGACUUGGAAACUACUGGUCUGGCUCGGACAUCUGAUAUUAUUCAGAUAGCAGCAACCUCUGGAGACGGGAAUUAAGGUGUUAAUGUUCGGCCCUCUGGCUGAUAUUGGUGUCUCGGGCUGAUACAGGAUGUGAUAUGGAAAAUGCCUUUAAGCAUGUGUUAACUUGUAUAAGUUGUGAUGUGGAUGUGUAUAAUAGACAUUCUUUC